UAAAGUCCAGUUCUUUUAGUGUUAUGUAUGAGCGAUUAUUUAUAGUUUCUAAGUAGAGGUCUCAGGCGGUGGGAGGGAUGGGUGGUUGGGUGGAAGGUCUUUGAGUUUGUAAUUUUAUGUUAUGGUGUUCCCUCUUGGUUUAGGGGAAUAGCUCCUUCUAGAGCUUAUAAGGCGGGUGGAUUUAACGGUUAAAUAAGGUCAGGUGGAUACUUGGGUUUGGA
rnacentral:lncRNA from 1 species